UACGAGGGGGGCGAGCGUUGUUCGGAAUUAUUGGGCGUAAAGGGCGCGUAGGCGGUCGGAUAAGUCUUGUGUGAAAUCUUCGGGCUCAACUCGAAGUCUGCACAGGAAACUAUCUGGCUUGAGUGUGGGAGAGGUGAGUGGAAUUCCUGGUGUAGCGGUGAAAUGCGUAGAUAUCAGGAGGAACACCUGUGGCGAAAGCGGCUUCCUGGUCCAGCACCGACGUUCAGGCACGAAAGCGUGGGGAGCAAACAGG
rnacentral:rRNA from 1 species